rnacentral:rRNA from 1 species
GAUGAACGCUGGCUACAGGCUUAACACAUGCAAGUCGAGGGGAAACGACGGGGAAGCUUGCUUCCCCGGUCGUCGACCAGCGCACGGGUGAGUAACGCGUAUCCAACCUGCCUCUGACUGAGGGAUAACCCGUCGAAAUUCGGCCUAAUACUUCAUGGUAUCGUCUGCGGGCAUCCAACGACGAUUAAAGAUUUCAUCGGUCAGGGAUGGGGAUGCGUUUGAUUAGCUUGUUGGCGGGGUAACGGCCCACCAAGGCUACGAUCAGUAGGGGUUCUGAGAGGAAGGUACCCACACUGGAACUGAGACCCGGUCCAAACGCCUACGGGAGGCAGCAGUGAGGAAGAUUGGUAAAUGGGCGAGAGCCUGAACCAGCCAAGUAGCGUGCAGGAAGUCGGCCCUAUGGGUUGUAAACUGCUUUUAUGCGGGGAUAAAGUGAGGGACGUGUCCCUCAUUGCAGGUACCGCAUGAAUAAGGACCGGCUAAUUCCGUG